rnacentral:rRNA from 1 species
AACGAACGCUGGCGGCAGGCUUAACACAUGCAAGUCGAGCGAGACCUUCGGGUCUAGCGGCGGACGGGUGAGUAACGCGUGGGAACGUGCCCUUCUCUACGGAAUAGCCCCGGGAAACUGGGAGUAAUACCGUAUACGCCCUUUGGGGGAAAGAUUUAUCGGAGAAGGAUCGGCCCGCGUUGGAUUAGGUAGUUGGUUGGGUAAUGGCCCACCAAGCCGACGAUCCAUAGCUUGGUUGAGAGGAUGAUCAGCCACACUGGGACUGAGACACGGCCCAGACUCCUACGGGAAGCAGCAGUGGGGAAUCUUAGACAAUGGGGGCAACCCUGAUCUAGCCAUGCCGCGUGAGUGAUGAAGGCCUUAGGGUUGUAAAGCUCUUUCAGCUGGGAAGAUAAUGACGGUACCAGCAGAAGAAGCCCCGGCUAACUCCGUG